rnacentral:lncRNA from 1 species
GGUGGAAUUGCUGGAAAUAAUGAGGAAAGAGCCCUUGGGGUAGAUAGUCGUGUCAUCAGGAGACCAGCUGCCAGCAGGGAUUUCCUCAUGGGGCGGAGGAAGCAGCGGUCCCCUCUGUGAAUGAGUCUCUCACAUCUCCUUUAGAUCCUGGGCGCCAUCCUGGGCUUGAAGCUACUCAGAAGGGGAGCACUGUGCUAAGAGGGGGAGCUAGAGAAACAGAAGGAGAGGUUGAUCGGGAGCUCAGGAAUGGGCCAGAGAAUCUUUUUAAGGCAUUUUUCAGCCUCUUCCUGAGUUGAGUAUAAGGAGAAGCUCCCAUCUCUGGAUCUGGGGUCAUGAGUUUCAGGUAAGGGUCCCCACAUUUCUUUCCACGCUUUGUCCUCACUCUUUUGCUGACCUCUGUAUUUUUGAGAUAAGGCUUCUAAAUUGAUUAAGGAGAGAGCAGGGAUCUGAGCUGAGGAAAAGGAAAUGGAACCUGGAAGUUAGCAUUAAUUUGAGCAAAGUCAGGGACCUAUGAGCUCAGAGUGGGCUACACCUUCCUGAAAUGAGAAACAGCCUCAGAACACAGACCUGGCCCGUCAGCAGGGGCCAACAAGCCCAGAGAGAUGAAGACAGAGGGCGUAGGUGUGUGGCCAGAGAGCGGGAGUGGGGAAUUUCUUCGCUCUCUGUCCAGCUAGAAGAAAUUUGGGAACCGGAAAGAACGUCUGUGAAAACAGCAGCACGGGGUCCAGGCAACGGCCCCCACUUUCCUGAGUUCUGAACCCGGCUCUGUGGCUUCUCAGGUGAGGAAACGCAGGAAAGAGACCUGCCUGUGGUCCCACCAUCACGUCGCGACAGAGCCGCAGCUGGAAUUCAGGUGUGGUCCUCUUCCCGCUUCUCCACAACUUCCACUUUGGACUUUAAACUUAAUUCCCAGGAUCCUAGGGCCCUUUUUUGUUAUAGACCCCAAAGGCAACUGAAUACAAACACCUAUAAGGCCAGAAAAUACCUCCCUCAUUUUAAUUAUUAAAAACAUUAUGAAAUUGACUAAAUUGUGAUAGAUAUGCAUCCUAAGAGACCAGUAAUUUGCACGAGUUCAUCGUUUUUCUUUAAAUCUUAACAUGAUCUGGAAGGCUUCAGAAGUGCCCUAAUUCUGAUCUUUCUCCGCGUUUUCUUUCGGUUUGUCUCCCUCUGGUGGAUUUAAAAAAAAAUACUUGUUUUUAUUUUCAGAGUAACUAUAGAUUAUUGGGGACAGGUUUUGCUCAAGGUCAGAGUUCAUCUGUUGUCAGCCUGGUUCAUGUUGUGGAACUCCUAGAAAACCAUCUUUCCUGGGUGGGAGUCUUUGCAGAGGCUCGACUUCAGGGAGGGUAGAAACAGGCCCAGCACGUCUGCUCCUUCAUACCUCCGUGAGCGCCAAGAAGCACAUGCGCAGACACAAAGGUGCAUUCAGAGAAUAAGUGGUUUGAAAUGAUUCAGCAUAAAGUGCAAGAGAUUAGCGGUGAAAGGCUGUGGUAAGAGAUGGAGUGGAAGGGUAAGCAGGGACCAAAUCACAGGGCCUUUUAAGUUAUGUUUGAAUCUUAUUUUGUAGGUAAUGGGGAUUGUAUUAGUUAGGAUUAGGCUGCAAAAACAGAAAACCUAUAUAAGUGGCUUUUAAAACAAAAAGUUUACUUCUGUCUGUGUAAAAGAAGUCAGGAAGUAGGCAGUCCAGGGUUUGAUAUGGAGCUCCCUGUCAUCAGUGAUCCAGGGUCCUUCCAGUCACGACUCCAUCUCUAGAGUGUAGCCUUUGUCCUCAUGGUCCAAAAUAGCUGCCAGAGCUCCAGCCAUCAUAUGCAUUUAUGCAAUUGGAUAGCUGCAUUGGCAAUUCAAUCUCAAUUUCCCAGAAAACAAACUGACUGAUUUCUACUCUCAAACCAGCUCUUGCCUUUUGUUCUCUAGCUCCCCAUUUUACUAUAGGAAAGAGCAAUGAAAUGAGACUCAGGAAGUAUGGGAGACUCUGGAGCUGAGGACAGAGAGUGAGUUCAGAAAACAUACAAGAGAGAUUUAAAAAGGAGUGGGGACCAGGCAUGCUAAAUGCUGCACAGAGGUCAAGCCACACAAGAUCUGAAGGUCGGCGUUUACAGAGCUGGCAGUAAGGUUAUCCGUGACCUUGGCAAGGGGGCGUCUACACUUUUUUUGUAGUGCAGAGCCCGAUUCAAUGUUGAAGCUCAGGGACGACAACUGCACCGUUCUUGCCUCUCACUGUCGUGUUGAUGAGCGCCCUGUGCUUGUCCCAGCCGUGGCUGGGACUUACCACUUCCCUUGAGGUUAGCCUCCAGUGAGAAAGAGCUGAAGUCGUCGGAGCUGCGUUUGUGGAAAAAAGCCUGGGUUCUCUGACCCUGUUCGCACCUCAGUUCUGCUCCUCUAGCUCCACUCUGUGUUUCCUGGACAACUGCUUCUCUGGACCUUAAUGGCCCCUGCUCCCUCCUUAGUUUUAACGGCCAUCUUGACUUCUUAGCAUCUUCUUUAGGACACAGUCUGGUGUUCUCCCGGCUUCUACCACUUACAGCUGCCCAGGCCCACAGCCCCGACGGAUG